GGAAGUAGAGAGGAGACAUUGCUGGAGUUGGCAGCAGAGGAGAGAGGAACGUCCUGUUCAGAUCACACGACCAAAUCAAUAGGCAUGGACAAAGACCAACGCCAAGUGACUGAGAGGAUAUUGGACCUCACCCUGGAGAUCAUCUACCUGCUGACCGGAGAGAGAUUUCCUCUUGUGAAGUCAGGUGAUCAUAUGACCAUCA